AGUAUUAGUUAUAUUCUUAAAAUUUAAAAAAUUUGGCGGUGUUUUAGUCUAUUUAGAGGAAUCUGUCCUGUAAUUGAUAAUUCACAUUGAACCUUACUUAAAUUUAUUUAAUUUGUAUAUCGCCGUCAUCAGAAUAUGUUAUAAGAUUAAUAAUUUCUAAAAUUUAUUAAAUAAAAUGUCAGGUCAAGGUGCAG
rnacentral:rRNA from 1 species